UAUAGUCAAACCACAACAUAUAUGUAGGGAUGGGGAUAGUGUACAGGGUUCCCAUGUAGCAAGUGAAUCGGGAAGUUACAUUCUACAAUGGAAAUACUUUGAUUCUACAAAAGCUUCCUUUGAAUUCUCACUAACUACACACAAGUCAAAGGUCAUGUAUCACACAGAACUUCUGCAGUCAGCCACUUUCAGAGGGUCUAUGGCUAGUCUAUAAUCCAGUGCUAGUGGGUUUUCCUCGCUUAGCAUCGGAACAAACCAGAGUAUUCCAAUGGCAAGGAAACAUUGAUAUGAGUCCCAGUCAAUGUGAAACAAUUUAAACAGUAUACAAUGCAUAUCUUAGUCAAAUUUUACAUAUGGGGAACAUGUUUUGUUAUUUAUUGUUAUGUGUAGUUAAAUAUGGGUUUAUCUCAGACGUGUGGCUAUUUCAGAAUGUUGUGACUUGUCAUUUCUAAUUCUUACUUUUUAUACAAUGGGUAUUUAAAUUAAUUGUAAAAAGGAGUGCAUAUUUCAUUUGCAAAUUGUGAUCUAAAUGAGCCACGCCAUGAGAAAACCAACAUAGUGGCUUUGCGACCA